AAGUUACUGAAAUGGAGCAAUGUGUUUCCUGGAAGGCACCGUUUGCACACACAUGUCUGCAACUCUGGGUGCUGAAAAUCACCAGUUGCUUUUGAAAUCUUGGUCUGGGUGAACUACAUUGGUUUAAACAAUGGAGAAGAACGUGAGAAGAAUUUGUUCUUUAUGGCUAAGAAGGGACAGGCUGAAUAAAAUGUAAAAGGGUUAAUAACUAAUGCAAUAGGCCUGACUCUAUUGUUGCAAGUUAAAAAUAUGCCUCUUGCCACAGGGCUUGCAUUAAUAUUGUUUGAGAGAAGUAGCAUCAAUGUACUGUAAUAGAGUUUUAUUAAUAGGCUAACAGAGUCAUCAGUCUCUGGGUUGGUAUGAUGGCUGAAUACAGUGAACACGAGCAUCUUGACAAGCAUGUAACAAAACCUAUCAAUCACUUUCAGCGUGAAGAUGCUAUAAUAAUUAUGUUUACAGUGCUACUAAAAUAUGGGUAGAAUGUUCCAACCCAUGGAAAUGUUCAGGUCCACAGUGAAUACCCUAUGCAGUACAGAAGGUGGAAUCACUGUAAAUUCACUUAGCUGUGUAGACUAAGAUCAUUAUUCUCUUGACCCAUUGUGCUAUUUUUAGAACAAAUUUAAUGCAUUUUUCAUUCAGUGCUGUUUAAUGUAAAAUCACUUCAAAGCUAAAA